AUGUGCAUUCCUACAUCAUAGCAUUGAUGCACCAUAUCCCAUUAGAACUCCGCAGUUAAGCGUUCUCAGGCUAGAGUAGUACUAGGAUGGGUGACUGCUCAAGAAUUCCUAGUGGUUUACAUC
rnacentral:rRNA from 1 species